GGAUAAACUGAUUUUGCUUAUUGCACCACAUGUGUUUUUCUUUGAAACAAACUUGCUUUGGCGGUGGGCCCAGCCUGCCGCCAGAGGUCUAAACUUACAACCAAUUUUUUAUCAACUUGUCACACCAGAUUAUUACUUAAUAGUCAAAACUUUCAACAACGGAUCUCUUGGUUCUCGCAUCGAUGAAGAACGCAGCGAAAUGCGAUACGUAAUAUGAAUUGCAGAUAUUCGUGAAUCAUCGAAUCUUUGAACGCACAUUGCGCCCUCUGGUAUUCCGGAGGGCAUGCCUGUUUGAGCGUCGUUUCUCCCUCAAACCGCUGGGUUUGGUGUUGAGCAAUACGACUUGGGUUUGCUUGAAAGACGGUAGUGGUAAGGCGGGAUCGCUUUGACAAUGGCUUAGGUCUAACCAAAAACAUUGCUUGCGGCGGUAACGUCCACCACGUAUAUCUUCAAACUUUGACCUCAAAUCAGGUAGGACUACCCGCUGAACUUAAGCAUAUCAAAAGCCGGAGAAA
rnacentral:rRNA from 1 species